UCUCUUUCUUCUUCUAUCUUCUAUGUUGUUCUUCUUCAUGUUCUUUCUCUUUCUCUUCUCUGUCGAUCUCAAUUCGAAGAAUUGAGUUUGUUAUCGUGUGAGAAAUUGCUUAGAAACUCGUCAGUAAGUUGAAUCGAAGGAUUAGGUGAUUGUACUGUGAUUGUUUGAGCUCGAGUGAAGUAGGAGUGAUUCUGUUGAAUCAAUUAGGGUUCUGUUCUUGAGUUGGAAGAGAGAUUAAGAGGAGUUUUGAGUUUCUAUUGGAUGAAGAUCGAAUGGGUUGGUGUUUAAUUAAUGUUCUGAAGCUGUUCUUAUGAAGAAUCACGAACCAGUUUCAGUAAUCAGAAGAUAUGGAGUACGCGAAGAUAUCCGUUUCGUAGCUUAGAGCUUUAUCGAAUAUAGUGUUGUUGUGUAUCUUAUAUGUAUUCUUUCUUUAUUCUGUAAACGACACAUUAUUAUAUUCAUAUCACUCAAGAGAUUUCCAAUUGUAUAA